GACGGUUUGGCCGAGUGGUCAAGAUUUAGGCUCUGGUCUAAAAGGCGUGGGUUAAAUCCCACAGCCGUCA
rnacentral:tRNA from 1 species